rnacentral:rRNA from 1 species
AUUGAACGCUGGCGGUAGGCCUAACACAUGCAAGUCGAACGCGAAAGUUCUUCGGAAUGAGUAGAGUGGCGGACGGGUGAGUAACGCGUAGGAAUCUGUCCUGUAGUGGGGGAUAACGUUCCGAAAGGAACGCUAAUACCGCAUACGCCCUACGGGGGAAAGCGGGGGAUCUUCGGACCUCGCGCUAUAGGAGGAGCCUGCGUCGGAUUAGCUAGUUGGUAGGGUAAAGGCCUACCAAGGCGACGAUCCGUAACUGGUCUGAGAGGAUGAUCAGUCACACCGGAACUGAGACACGGUCCGGACUCCUACGGGAGGCAG